CAUCGUCAUACGCGCCAGUAUUGCUGGAAGACUGCAGGAACAGAACCCCCUGGAAAGAUGAGUUCCUUAUUAAAGAAAGGCUUGAUGCUGUUUACUCCACACUCUUAGGCUGACUUUGUAUUAUUUGUCUGUGAAGACAGUUCACAGUUUCUGAAUCCCAUCAAGAAUGAAGACCUGGAGGCCACCAUAUUGAGAUGGUCCGAUGUCAUGAUAUGGCGCUUUUCCAAUGUAGGGUACAACUUGGCUCGGCACGAUGCAGCUCAGCUCGCUUUCGUUGCUUUUCCAGUACAGUUUAGUGUCGCUUCAGAGUGGGUGAGAUUAUAGGCAGGGGUGCACAUAACUGGUGCGUAUGCUCAAAUAGAAACAAUUCUAGUGUACCAACGUUGCUGGAAUUUUGUUACAUAGUUAGCUAAUUUACUUUGACAUAAGAGAUUUCUUCGUGCAUCAGUGGUAAGAUAAUUAAUGUGUGUUGUUAGCAGUGAUCCGCAUCUCAAUGCUUCAGACAGCUUGCUAGUACAAGUAUACAUUUAUAUGAGUUAGGCUAGUAGUUAUUUAUAAAGAUUAGAUAAGUAAAAAACAAUAACCAGGGUUAUUUUAUGUACAUCAUUGUCUACCAUGUUUAAACAAAAGCGAUAUGGCGAAGAGAGUAGUCAGGAGAAAAGUGAUGAUGUCAGCAUGUAGGAUGUCUGUGCUAUGAAUAGUGUGAGUACCAAGUAACAUCUCCAGGUACUUCUUUGAGAACCAGGACAAAAAAAGUUAUGUGCACCCCUGAUUAUAGCCUUAUUGUUAAAGUUGCGUCCUCUCUACUGCCGUAACAUCAUCGUAAAUGUGAUACAAACACACACACACACAACAUGGAGCAACAGAGCAUAUUAAUGGAAUGCAGCCACAAAAUCAAAAUUGACAGCCACAAGUAGAUUUUCCACUACCUCUCUCACAUGACAGGUUCUAUACAAACACCCGUGUCAUCCGUACCUGUACUCCGCUGACAGAACAUUUACGCCUAUACUUUUGGUGCGUUUUGAAUGCGGAGCCAUGCGCAAAGUUACAAAACUGCCAUCCAGACAUGGGCGCGGUGGUGUGCUCUGCAUUUUUGUAACUUUGCACAUGGCUUCGCAUCCGAAACCCAUUACCCCUUCCCCAAAAGUGAGCUGUGCUGAACUGGGUCAUACUUUGCAAUGGAAAAGCGCCAAAAGUGUCCUACUUCCUGGCUUGAAUGAUUUAGGUAAGCAAAUUUAUCUGAUACACCAAAACCUAAAACGUUUUAAUUCUUUCUUGCAGUGUUAACACGGCAUUUUGAUCUUGAUAUUUAUUCACAUUUAAUGAGAUAUGGAGAUUUUUAUCUUUUACAGAUGAAGACAUACAUUUAAGUGAGCCGUUUUUAUGUCCAUACACUGCGGGCCAGCAUACAUGAAAGUCACCAUCAUGUUUCUACAGUAGCCCUAAAUGGACAAACUGUUCUACAGAGCGUGUUUCGUCCAUACGUUGUCUCAAGGGCUCAAUAUAGCAAACAUACAUGUAGACCGCUGAUAGGCAGUAUCCACGCAUGUAACCACAGAAGCAGCUUGGUCAGUUUAACUCACAAAUGAAGAAACAGCAGAUUGUUGCG